CAGUCGCCGCGGUAAUACGUAGGUGGCAAGCGUUGUCCGAAUUAUUGGGCGUAAAGGGCUCGCAGGCGGUUUCUUAAGUCUGAUGUGAAAGCCCCCGGCUCAACCGGGGAGGGUCAUUGGAAACUGGGAAACUUGAGUGCAGAAGAGGAGAGUGGAAUUCCACGUGUAGCGGUGAAAUGCGUAGAGAUGUGGAGGAACACCAGUGGCGAAGGCGACUCUCUGGUCUGUAACUGACGCUGAGGAGCGAAAGCGUGGGGAGCGAACAGGAUUAGAUACCCCCGUAGUCCCUGUCUCUUAUACA
rnacentral:rRNA from 1 species